UCGACAUGUCGAUUUGUUUUCCAUCGCUUGUCGGUAAACAUGAAAGAGCAGUCGAUCGACUUUAGUGUGUGGACGUGUUUUCGACGUUCGACAUUCGACAAAGUGUUAAAGUAGGAGUAGGUACUCGGUGACGUCUUGCCUUGUUGACAUGGUGGCCGUGUGUUUUCGUUGGAGAAAUGGAAUGGCUACAACAAGCUAAAGUCAUACCCUUUAUUGAGGCAUACAAACUAAAAACAAAUCUAUGGGAUUCUAAAACCAAAAACUAUAAGAACAGGAACUUGAGACACGAUGCCCUUAUGGAAAUUGGUAAAGAAUUUAACAUCGAGAAGCAAGCGGUAGAACAAAAAAUUAAAAAUCUUCAAAGUCAAUUUGCAAGAGAAGUAAAAAAAAUAAAGGACAGCAAGAAAUUUGGCUCUGGUACGGAGGAUGUGUAUAAAAGUAAAUGGUUUGCUUUUGAAAGUAUGAAAUUUUUACUAGACAAAAAUAAGCCCAGGGAGAUGUUGGAUUCACAGGUUUCAUCAGGGGUGGGUGCAGUGGAAAAUGCCAACGAUGUGGAUAAUACUGCUGAUGAGCAUGAGAAUACUCAAGAUGCCAUUUUAAAUACUGGAGAAGACAACUCUAAAGACUCUACGAGGAGUUGGAAAUGCCGAUAAUGUUGAAAUAGCAAAGGAAACUUUAACUAUAAAAAAACAGUUUAAGUCGCCAGCUCUUGGCCACGUACCUUCAAGAAAAAGGAAAUGCGAUAACCCAAUGACAAAACAAUCAAAGGAUGUGUUUACCACAUUUGGCGAAGAAGUGGCUGUGACAUUGCGAAAUUUGCUCACUACUUAUGCUCAAGCUACAGUGCAACACAAAAUAAGCACACUUUUGUUUGAAGCAAAAUUGGGAAAUUACAAUUAUCCCGUAGCACAACAACCACAGCAGCAGUAUUUUUCUCAGGCUCAGCAACAACACUAUUAUCCUCAAUCUCAGCAUUCUUAGCAACAGCAAUAUUUUUCCAGUACAGCAAAUUCAGGUGGCUUACUGAUGACCUCACCGAUGCAUUCCCCGGAAUCACAUUCCUCAUGCUCUCCUUUUAGCAAUCCCCCUACUUCGGCACAAUCAACUACUGCCCUUACAACUGAUGAAGAUGAAGCUGCAGAUCGUUUCAUCACCCAACUGCAAUCUCCAGGAAGUCAUACCUCAUAAGCUCGGUCAUAAGUAUAGAUAUGCGCACAACUAUUCUCAUUUAGGGUUUAAAUAUUUAGUUUUGUUUUAGUUAUAGUUUAUUUUUACUACUGUUGUGCCUAUUUAUUCUUUAUUAUGGUUAUGAAAAUUUGAUUUAAGAAGUAGCUAUAACUAUAUUUUCAUAUUUAUAUAAAUCUCGUUAAAUCUUAAUAAAUAAAGUGCUUACCUUAA